ACGAACGCUGGCGGCGUGCCUAAUACAUGCAAGUCGAACGUUAAAGUCCUUCGGGACGAGUAAAGUGGCGCACGGGAGAGUAAUACAUCGGAACGUACCAUUUGGUGGGGGAUAACCACGGGAAACUGUGGCUAACACCGCAUAAUGACGUGAGUCUAAACUAGGCCUCUAUUUAUAAGCUUAGGCCAAUUGAGCGGCCGAUGCCCCAUUAGCUAGUUGGUAGGGUAAUGGCCUACCAAGGCGACGAUGGGUAGCUGGUCUGAGAGGAUGAUCAGCCUCACUGGGACUGAGACACGGCCCAGACUCCUACGGGAGGCAGCAGUAGGGAAUUUUGCACAAUGGGCGCAAGCCUGAUGCAG
rnacentral:rRNA from 1 species